rnacentral:rRNA from 1 species
AUUGAACGCUGGCGGCAGGCCUAACACAUGCAAGUCGAACGAGUGGCGGACGGGUGAGGAAUGUCUGGGAAACUGCCUGAUGGAGGGGGAUAACUACUGGAAACGGUAGCUAAUAACGCAUACCAGAGGAUGUGCCCAGAUUGGAUUAGCUAGUAGGUGGGGUAAGGGCUCACCUAGGCGACGAUCCCUAGCUGGUCUGAGAGGAUGAACAGCCACACUGGAACGGAGACACGGUCCAGACUCCUACGGGAGGCAGCAGUGGGGAAUCUGGCACAAGUGGCGCAAGCCUGAUGCCGCCAUGCCGCGUGUAUGAAGAAGGCCUUCGGGUUGUAAAGUACUUUCAGCGGGGAGGCGUUACCCGCAGACGAAGCACCGGCUAACUCCGUGCCAGCAGCCGCGGUAAUAC